rnacentral:rRNA from 1 species
CCCUUAGAUGUCCGGGGCUGCACGCGCGCUACACUGAAGGAAUCAGCGUGCUAAAACCAUUGUCGAAAGGCAUUGGUAAACCCAUUAAAAUCCUACGUGAUUGGGAUCGGGAAUUGCAAUUAUUUCCCUUGAACGAGGAAUUCCCAGUAAGUGUGGGUCAUAAGCUCGCGUUGGUUACGUCCCUGCCCUUUGUACACACCGCCCGUCGCUGCCCGGGACUGAGCCGUUUCGAGAAAAGCGGGGACUGCUGCUGUCGGGGCUUUCGGGCCUUGGCUUCGGUGGAAACCGCUUUAAUCGCAGUGGCUUGAACCGGGCAAAAGUCGUAACA